GCCAAGAUAGCUCAGCUGGUAGAGCAAUGCACUCGUAACGCAUAGGUCCCGGGUUCAAAUCCCGGUCUUGGCU
rnacentral:tRNA from 1 species